UACGAAGGGGGCUAGCGUUGCUCGGAAUCACUGGGCGUAAAGCGCACGUAGGCGGAUCGUUAAGUCAGGGGUGAAAUCCUGGAGCUCAACUCCAGAACUGCCUUUGAUACUGAAGAUCUUGAGUCCGGGAGAGGUGAGUGGAACUGCGAGUGUAGAGGUGAAAUUCGUAGAUAUUCGCAAGAACACCAGUGGCGAAGGCGGCUCACCUGGCCCGGUACUGACGCUGAGGCACGAAAGCGUGGGGAGCAAACAGGAAUUAGAUGACCCUGGUAGUACCCAG
rnacentral:rRNA from 1 species